CGGGGGGAGCAAGCGUUGUUCGGAUUUACUGGGCGUAAAGGGCGCGUAGGCGGCGCGACAAGUCACUUGUGAAAUCUCCGGGCUUAACCCGGAGCGGCCAAGUGAUACUGUAGUGCUAGAGUGCGGAAGGGGCUACUGGAAUUCUCGGUGUAGCGGUGAAAUGCGUAGAUAUCGAGAGGAACACCUGCGGCGAAGGCGGGUAGCUGGGCCGACACUGACGCUGAGGCGCGAAAGCCAGGGGAGCGAACGGGAUUAGAUACCCCGGUAGUCCUGGCCUUAAACGAUGGAUACUUGGUGUCCGGGGUUACAUAGUCCCCGGGUGCCGGCGCUAACGCAUUAAGUAUCCCGCCUGGGGAGUACGGUCGCAAGACUG
rnacentral:rRNA from 1 species